rnacentral:rRNA from 1 species
GACGAACGCUGGCGGCGUGCUUAACACAUGCAAGUCGAACGGAAAGGCCCUGCUUUUGUGGGGUGCUCGAGUGGCGAACGGGUGAGUAACACGUGAGUAACCUGCCCUUGACUUUGGGAUAACUUCAGGAAACUGGGGCUAAUACCGGAUAGGAGCUCCUGCUGCAUGGUGGGGGUUGGAAAGUUUCGGCGGUUGGGGAUGGACUCGCGGCUUAUCAGCUUGUUGGUGGGGUAGUGGCUUACCAAGGCUUUGACGGGUAGCCGGCCUGAGAGGGUGACCGGCCACAAUGGGACUGAGAUACGGCCCAGACGGCUACGGGAGGCAGCAGUGGGGAAUAUUGCACAAUGGGCGGAAGCCUGAUGCAGCAACGCCGCGUGCGGGAUGACGGCCUUCGGGUUGUAAACCGCUUUCGCCUGUGACGAAGCGUGAGUGACGGUAAUGGGUAAAGAAGCACCGGCUAACUACGUG